rnacentral:rRNA from 1 species
UAGCUAGUUGGUGAGGUGAUGGCUUACCAAGGCGACGAUCUGUAGCGGGUCUGAGAGGAUGAUCCGCCACACUGGAACUGAGACACGGUCCAGACUCCUACGGGAGGCAGCAGUGGGGAAUUUUGGACAAUGGGGGCAACCCUGAUCCAGCCAUGCCGCGUGAGUGAAGAAGGCCUUCGGGUUGUAAAGCUCUUUCGGCCGGGAAGAAAUCGCAUGGGCCAAUACCCUGUGUGGAUGACGGUACCGGAAUAAGAAGCACCGGCUAACUACGUGCCAGCAGCCGCGGUAAUACGUAGGGUGCGAGCGUUAAUCGGAAUUACUGGGCGUAAAGAGUGCGCAGGCGGUUUUGUAAGACAGGCGUGAAAUCCCCGGGCUUAACCUGGGAACUGCGUUUGUGACUGCAAGGCUAGAGUACGGCAGAGGGGGGUGGAAUUCCACGUGUAGCAGUGAAAUGCGUAGAGAUGUGGAGGAACACCAAUGGCGAAGGCAGCCCCCUGGGUCGAUACUGACGCUCAUGCACGAAAGCGUGGGUAGCAAACAGGAUUAGAUACCCUGGUAGUCCACGCCCUAAACUAUGUCAACUAGGUGUUGGGUGGGUAAAACCAUUUAGUACCGUAGCUAACGCGUGAAGUUGACCGCCUGGGGAGUACGGCCGCAAGGUUAAAACUCAAAGGAAUUGACGGGGACCCGCACAAGCGGUGGAUGAUGUGGAUUAAUUCGAUGCAACGCGAAAAACCUUACCUACCCUUGACAUGCCAGGAACUUGCCAGAGAUGGCUUGGUGCCCGAAAGGGAGCCUGGACACAGGUGCUGCAUGGCUGUCGUCAGCUCGUGUCGUGAGAUGUUGGGUUAAGUCCCGCAACGAGCGCAACCCUUGUCGUUAAUUGCCAUCAUUUAGUUGGGCACUUUAACGAGACUGCCGGUGACAAACCGGAGGAAGGUGGGGAUGACGUCAAGUCCUCAUGGCCCUUAUGGGUAGGGCUUCACACGUCAUACAAUGGUCGGUACAAAGGGUUGCCAAGCCGCGAGGCGGAGCCAAUCCCAGAAAGCCGAUCGUAGUCCGGAUUGCAGGCUGCAACUCGCCUGCAUGAAGUCGGAAUCGCUAGUAAUCGUGGAUCAGCAUGUCACGGUGAAUACGUUCCCGGGUCUUGUACACACCGCCCGUCACACCAUGGGAGCGGGUUCCGCCAGAAGUAGGUAGCCUAACCGCAAGGGGGGCGCUUACCACGGCGGGGUUCGUGACUGGGGUGAAGUCGUAACAAGGUAGCCGUAGGGGAACCUGCGGCUG